rnacentral:rRNA from 1 species
UGGGGAAUUUUGGACAAUGGGGGAAACCCUGAUCCAGCCAUCCCGCGUGUGCGAUGAAGGCCUUCGGGUUGUAAAGCACUUUUGGCAGGAAAGAAACGUCGUGGGUUAAUACCCCGCGAAACUGACGGUACCUGCAGAAUAAGCACCGGCUAACUACGUGCCAGCAGCCGCGGUAAUACGUAGGGUGCAAGCGUUAAUCGGAAUUACUGGGCGUAAAGCGUGCGCAGGCGGUUCGGAAAGAAAGAUGUGAAAUCCCAGAGCUUAACUUUGGAACUGCAUUUUUAACUACCGGGCUAGAGUGUGUCAGAGGGAGGUGGAAUUCCGCGUGUAGCAGUGAAAUGCGUAGAUAUGCGGAGGAACACCGAUGGCGAAGGCAGCCUCCUGGGAUAACACUGACGCUCAUGCACGAAAGCGUGGGGGAGCAAACAGGAUUAGAUACCCUGGUUAGUCCACGCCCUAAACGAUGUCAACUAGCUGUUGGGGUCUUCGGACCUUGUAGCGCAGCUAACGCGUGAAG